GGGUAGAGGUGCAAAACUUAAAAGUAGGCUGUUGUGAGGAUGACAACUAUGAUCACAGCUAAAAGGAAGUUUUGCCGAAGUAUCAUUUGAAGUCAGGCAUAUGAUACUGGGGUUGUCUUGAAUAAGGACAGCACUGUCAUUAUAAAGAUUAUCUUUAUAAUGGUGAGCUACAGA
rnacentral:ncRNA from 1 species